UCGGAAUUCAAAUCCGGAAGCGCCUAAGCGAAGCUCAAGUUGCGGGGAGUCCGGAAGUACAAGAGUUUUGGCCGGAAAGUGGCCGGAAGGCGGCGGAUCCGGGCCGGAAAGUCGCUGCUCACGCGACACUUCCCAAGGCUGCCGGCAAGGAUUUUCUGACGGAGGAGGGUUGCUUCCGGGGUUUUUGGGGAUGGGGAGUCCGAUUCCGGCGUCGGUUUGCGGAAAGGACGCCGGCAGGAGGCAGAAUCGACAAUGGCAGCCUCUUCGUCCUUCGUCGGUGUCGCGCGGAAAGGAAGGAGGAGGGGAAGGCGCUGCUGAACGGCGG
rnacentral:lncRNA from 1 species